rnacentral:rRNA from 1 species
AAACUAACAAGGAUUCCCCUAGUAACGGCGAGUGAAGCGGGAAGAGCUCAAAUUUGAAAUCUGGUAGCCUUCGGUUGCCCGAGUUGUAAUCUAGAGAAGUGUUUUCCGUGCCGGCCCAUGUACAAGUCCCUUGGAACAGGGCGUCAUAGAGGGUGAGAAUCCCGUCCUUGACAUGGACCCCCGGUGCUUUGUGAUACACUUUCAACGAGUCGAGUUGUUUGGGAAUGCAGCUCAAAAUGGGUGGUGAAUUCCAUCUAAAGCUAAAUAUUGGCGAGAGACCGAUAGCGAACAAGUACCGUGAGGGAAAGAUGAAAAGCACUUUGGAAAGAGAGUUAAACAGUACGUGAAAUUGUUGAAAGGGAAACGAUUGAAGUCAGUCAUGCUCUUGGGACUUACCUCCCUUGAGUGGGGUCAACAUCAGUUUUGAUCGAUGGAUAAAGGCACGAGGAAGGUAGCACUCUCGGGUGAACUUAUAGCCUCGCGUCAUAUACAUUGAUUGGGACUGAGGAACGCAGCAUGCCUUUUGGCCGGGAUUCGUCCACGUACAUGCUUAGGAUGUUGACAUAAUGGCUUUAAACGAC